rnacentral:rRNA from 1 species
GUCGCAAGACCAAAGUGGGGGACCUUCGGGCCUCAUGCCAUCAGAUGUGCCCAGAUGGGAUUAGCUAGUAGGUGGGGUAACGGCUCACCUAGGCGACGAUCCCUAGCUGGUCUGAGAGGAUGACCAGCCACACUGGAACUGAGACACGGUCCAGACUCCUACGGGAGGCAGCAGUGGGGAAUAUUGCACAAUGGGCGCAAGCCUGAUGCAGCCAUGCCGCGUGUGUGAAGAAGGCCUUCGGGUUGUAAAGCACUUUCAGCGGGGAGGAAGGCGGUAAGGUUAAUAACCUUGUCGAUUGACGUUACCCGCAGAAGAAGCACCGGCUAACUCCGUGCCAGCAGCCGCGGUAAUACGGAGGGUGCAAGCGUUAAUCGGAAUUACUGGGCGUAAAGCGCACGCAGGCGGUCUGUCAAGUCGGAUGUGAAAUCCCCGGGCUCAACCUGGGAACUGCAUUCGAAACUGGCAGGCUAGAGUCUUGUAGAGGGGGGUAGAAUUCCAGGUGUAGCGGUGAAAUGCGUAGAGAUCUGGAGGAAUACCGGUGGCGAAGGCGGCCCCCUGGACAAAGACUGACGCUCAGGUGCGAAAGCGUGGGGAGCAAACAGGAUUAGAUACCCUGGUAGUCCACGCCGUAAACGAUGUCGAUUUGGAGGUUGUGCCCUUGAGGCGUGGCUUCCGGAGCUAACGCGUUAAAUCGACCGCCUGGGGAGUACGGCCGCAAGGUUAAAACUCAAAUGAAUUGACGGGGGCCCGCACAAGCGGUGGAGCAUGUGGUUUAAUUCGAUGCAACGCGAAGAACCUUACCUGGUCUUGACAUCCACAGAACUUUCCAGAGAUGGAUUGGUGCCUUCGGGAACUGUGAGACAGGUGCUGCAUGGCUGUCGUCAGCUCGUGUUGUGAAAUGUUGGGUUAAGUCCCGCAACGAGCGCAACCCUUAUCCUUUGUUGCCAGCGGUUAGGCCGGGAACUCAAAGGAGACUGCCAGUGAUAAACUGGAGGAAGGUGGGGAUGACGUCAAGUCAUCAUGGCCCUUACGACCAGGGCUACACACGUGCUACAAUGGCAUAUACAAAGAGAAGCGACCUCGCGAGAGCAAGCGGACCUCAUAAAGUAUGUCGUAGUCCGGAUUGGAGUCUGCAACUCGACUCCAUGAAGUCGGAAUCGCUAGUAAUCGUAGAUCAGAAUGCUACGGUGAAUACGUUCCCGGGCCUUGUACACACCGCCCGUCACACCAUGGGAGUGGGUUGCAAAAGAAGUAGGUAGCUUAACCUUCGGGAGGGCGCUUACCACUUUGUGAUUCAUGACUGGGGUGAAGUCGUAACAAGGUAACCGUAGGGGAACCUGCGGUUGGAUCACCUCCUUACCUUAAAGAA